UACAGAGGUCCCAAGCGUUGUUCGGAUUCACUGGGCGUAAAGGGCGCGUAGGCGGCAGACCAAGUCCGGGGUGAAAUCUUUCGGCUUAACCGGAAAAGGGCCUUGGAUACUGGUUUGCUAGAGGGAGGUAGGGGUCUGUGGAACUUCUGGUGGAGCGGUGAAAUGCGUUGAUAUCAGAAGGAACGCCGGUGGCGAAAGCGACGGACUGGAUCUCUUCUGACGCUGAGGCGCGAAAGCCAGGGGAGCAAACGGG
rnacentral:rRNA from 1 species